rnacentral:lncRNA from 1 species
AUUAGCUAUAGCUGUUUUCCUACUUCUUCUAGCUAUAAUACUUCUGUUCUUCCGAUACUACAGCCUCCCAGGCUGUGAAUAUCUCUGUCCGUGCUGGGUUUAAUAUUUCUGCUGAAACCUUGUUAAUUGCCUCCAGAAUGGGAAACUCUUCUUCCCGGCCCCGUAGAGAUUGGAGCCCUUUCCAAUGUAUGUUACAAUGUACUUCUCUCUGGGCUUCUCAGAGGAUUACGGAGUCCACCUUAAAAAAGGCAAACUCCAGACACUCUGUGAAGUAGAUUGGCCACAAUUUGGAACCGGGUGGCCCCCAGAAGGGUCACUGAACCCCACAACUGUCCAGGCUCUGUGGCGGGUCGUUGCUGAAACUCCUGACACCCUAAUCAGUUUCCCUACAUUGAUCAAUGGCUAGAGUUGGUCCGGAGCCCUCCUCCAUGGCUCCGCUCAUGUGCCAUUCAUGAUCCCACCUCCAAGGUCCUUUGAGCCAGACCGCACUUCUGCCCAAACCCUCAGCUCCCUCGGCUCCUCCUGUAAUGCCUCCUUCUGAAGAAGAGGACAGCUGUAGGUCCACUGUCCUACAACCCUCCUGCUUCCCCAGAAUCUUCCCUUGUCUCCUCGACUACAUCCCCUGUGGCCUCUCCGCCUAUAGCCACCCGAUUGCAGCCUCGGCCGGAGGCAGUGGCCCCCCUCCUCCUGUUGAGAGAUGCCCAAAUCCCUCUGGAGAGUGAGCGCACUGCUCCAUUUUUAGUUUAUGUCCCCUUCUCUACUUCUGACCUGUAUAAUUGGAAGGCUCAUAAUCCCCCCUUCUCUGAAAAGCCCCAGGUCUUGACUUCACUGAUGGAGUCCGUGCUCUGGACUCACUGGCCCACCAGGAAUGACUGUCAGCAACUCCUUUUAACGCUUUUCACCUCUGAAGAGAGGGACCGUAUCCGAAGAGAGGCCAGAAAGUAUUUUCUCACAUCAGCCGGUAGACCAGAGGAGGAAGCCCAGGACCUCCUUGAGGAGGCUUUUCCCUCUACCCGGCCUGAUUGGGAUCCAAAUUCCUCAGGUGGGAAGACAGCUUUGGAUGAUUUUCACCAGUAUCUCCUUGCGGGUAUCAAGGGAGCCACUGGAAAACCCAUGAAUCUGUCCAAGACAACUGAAGUUGUCCAGGGGCCUGAUGAGUCACCAGGAGCGUUUCUAGAAUGCCUCCCAGAGGCCCAUCGGACUUACACCCCUUUUGACCCCGCGGCUCCCGAGAAUAGCUGUGCUAUUGAUUUGGCAUUUAUGACUCAGGCAGCCCCUGAUAUUAAAAGAAAAUUACAAAAGCUGGAAGGAUUUGCUGGAAUGAACACCAGCCAACUUCUUAGAAAUAGCCCAGAAAGUUUAUGACAAUCGAGAGUUUGAAAAGCAAGAACAGGCAGCCCAGGUAGCUGAAAGAACUGCUGACAAAGCAUCAAAAAGACAGGCAAAAAUCUUAGUAGCCACCAUCCAGGGGGGCAAGAAGAAAGGGCCCCCAUCACAAAACACUGGCCAGGGGACCCCGGGUCCCCACCAGAAAGGCCAAAAAGGUGAGUGGGCUCCCCUACAAAGAAACCAGUGCAUGUAUUGCAAACAGAUUGGACACUGGAAAAAGAAAUGCCCAUUAAAACCAGAAGAAAAAACAGAAAAGAAAAAGAUCCUCAUCCUCCCCACUGUGGAGGAAUCUGAUGAUUGACGGGGCUGGGGCUCCCUCUCCCUUGGCCCCCAGGAGCCCAUGGUGACCGUCACAGUUGGGGGCCAGCCUGUACACUUCCUAAUUGACACUGGGGUGGAACAGUCAGUACUGCAAACACCCUUGGGCAGUGUCUCUAAUAAUAAGGUGGCUGUGCAAGGGGCUACUGGAGCUAUUCAGGAAUAUCCUGUCACCCACUCACGAGAGGUGAGUUUGGGACAGAAAAGAGUAACCCACUCGUUUCUUGUGGUCCCAGAGUGCCCCUUCCCCCUCCUCGGACAAGACCUGCUUCAUAAGCUGAAGGCAUCCAUCUCCUUCUCCGCCCAACAAGCUCACCUCACGUUAGGGGACCCAACACCCCCUACCGCCCAGCUCCUGCUAACCACCCCUCUGUUGGAGGAGUAUCUCUUAGUUUCACCCUCACAACCACUGGAGAAUAAAACCAAUCCUCUCCUACUGGAUUUACAGACCCUCUUUCCUCGCGUCUGGGCCGAGUCAAACUGCACGGGACUGGCAAAGCACCAUCUGCCAGUAGUUGUAGAACUCCUGGCCACUGCCCUGCCAGUCCAAGUAAAACAAUAUCCUAUGAGUCAGCAGGCUAGAGAGGGAAUCAGUCCCCAUAUUCAUUGACUAUUACAAGCUGGUAUACUCACACCAUGUCAGUCCACCUGGAAUACUCUAUUUUUGCCAGUCCAGAAACCUGGAACAAAUGAUUACCAGCCAGUACAGGACUUGCGGGAAGUUAACAAGCAGACAGUCACCAUCCAUCCAACUGUCCCUAACCCUUAUACUUUACUCAGCCUGCUUCCACCAGAACAUACAGCAUACAGUGUCCUUGACUUAAAGGAUGCUUUCUUUGCUAUUCCUCUGGCCCCCAAAAGCCAACCUAUCUUUGCUUUUGAAUGGACAGAUCCUGGCUCAGGAGACACCACCCAAUUAACCUGGACUCAGUUACCCCAGGGUUUUAAAAAUUCCCCCACCCUUUUUGGGGAAACCCUCCAACAAGAUCUUAUACCAUUCCGAGCCAGUCACCCUAACUGCACUCUCCUCCAGUACAUGGACGACCUGUUUUUGGCUACUGAAACUACUGACAGCUGCCUGCAACACACUAGGGACCUACUUUACCUCCUUCAGGAACUUGGGUAUUGGGUCUCAGCCAAGAAGGCCUAGCUUUGUCUUCCCAGAGUUUCCUACUUAGGGUACGAGAUAAACAAAGGAAAAAGGGCACUCACUAGUGCUCAAAAGGAAGCCAUCCUGUGGAUCCCCACUCCCACCACCAAGAGACAGGUAUGUGAAUUCCUGGGGGCCGUGGGAUACUGUCAUUUAUGGAUAUUGGGGUUCGCAGAAAUUGCCAAGCCCCUGUAUUCUGCUACUGGAGGAAAUGGCCCACUAGUUUGGACUGACAAAGAAGAGCAGGCUUUUCAAAAUUUAAAGAUGGCAUUAACUGAGGCCCCUGCUCUUGCCCUCCCAAAUAUCUCAAAACCAUUUCACCUUUUUGUUCAUGAGAGCCAGGGAUUUGCUAAAGGGGUACUUACUCAGACUUUGGGACCAUGGUGAUGCCCAGUGGCCUAUAUAUGUCUGAAAGACUGGACCCUGUGGCCUCUGGGUGGCCAAGUUGUCUAUGAGCCCUAGGGGCAACAGCAAGCCUGGUCCAGGAGGCUGAUAAACUUACUCUGGGCCUGAAUUUAACACUUACAGCUCCUCAUGCCAUAGAGAAUUUGCUACGAAGUGCUUCUGGCAAAUGGAUGUUGCGUGCUCGCAUCCUACAAUAUCAGAGUUUACUGUUAGAUCAGUCUUGUUUAACUUUCUCUCCCACAAGGUGUUUAAAUCCAGCUACCUUGCUCCCUGAUCCAGACCUUACCACACCUGUCCAUGACUGCCAAGAACUGUUAGAGACUACAGAAACUGGCUGACCUGAUCUCCAAGAUGUGCCUCUAAAGGAGGCAGAUGCCACUGUGUUUACAGACAGUAGCAGUUUCCUUGAACAGGGAGUAUGAAAGGCUGGUGCAGCCGUUACUAUGGAGACAGAUAUACCGCAGGCCCAGGCACUGCCGGCAGGUAACUUGGCACAGAAGGCUGAAUUGGUCACCCUCACUCAGGCUCUCCGAUGGGGUAAGGACAAACGUAUUGACAUCUACACUGACAGCAGGUAUUCUUUUGCUACUGUACAUGUACACGGAGCCAUCUAUCAAGAGCGAGGGCUACUCACCUCAGCAGGAAAGACUGUUAAAAACAAAGAAGAAAUUUUGGCUCUGCUUGAAGCUGUUUGACUUCUUCAGCAGGUGGCUGUAAUUCAUUGCAAGGGACAUCAAAGAGAAGACUCAGCCGUUGUCUGUGGUAACCAAAGAACAGACUCUGCAGCGGGAGAGUCAGCUCGGCUCCCGGUCAUGCCUUUGACCCUGCUGCCUGCUGUGUCCUUUCCUCAACCUCACUUACCAGACCACCCAGAAUACUCCCCAGAGGAAGAAAAACGAGCUUUGCAUCUUCAGGCCAGUAAAAAUCAGGAAGGUUGGCAGAUUCUUCCUGAUUCCAGAAUCUUCAUGCCCCAAACCCUCAGGAAAACUUUAAUAGUCGUCUGCAUUCUACCACCCAUUUGGGAGGAGUAAAACUGGCCCAGGUUCUAAGGAGCCAUUUCAAGAUCCCCCACCUUCAGGACUUAACUAACCAAGCAGCUAGCUCUCCAGUGUAUGGCUUGUGGUCAGGUAAAUGCCAAACAAGGUCCCAAGCCCAGCCCAGGCCACCGCCUCCAGGAAGGCUUGCCAGGAGAAAGGUGGGAAGUUGACUUUACAGAAAUGAAACCACAGCAGGCAGAGUAUAAAUACCUCCUAGUGCUAGUAGACACCUUUUCAGGAUGGACUGAGGCAUUUGCCACCAAAAACGAAACUGCCACCACGGCAGUUAGGCUUUUACUCAAUGAAAUCAUCCCUCGACCUGGGCUGCCUGUUGCCAUAGGGUCUGAUAAUGGACCAGCCUUCACCUCGUCCAUAGCUCAGUUGGUUAGCAAGACAUUAAACAUUCAAUGGAAACUCCAUUGUGCCUAUCGACCCCAGAGCUCUGGACAGGUAGAACACAUGAGCUGCACCCUAAAAAGUACUCUUACUAAGUUAAUCCUAGAGACCGGUGAGAAUUAGGUAAAGCUCCUUCCUUUAGCCCUUCUUAGAGUAAGAUGCACCCCAUAUUGGGCUGGGUUUUCACCUUUUGAAAUCAUGUAUGGAAGGGCUCCGCCUAUCUUGCCUAAGCUAAGGGAUACCCAUUUAGCAGAAAUCUCACAAGCUAAUUUGUUACAGUACUUGCAGUCUCUCCAACAGGUACGAGUCAUCAUCCAGCCACUUGUCUGGGGAGCACACUCUAAUCCAGCUCCUGACCAGAGUGAGCCCUGCCACUUUUUCCAGCCGGGUGACCUGGUGUAUGUUAAAAAGUUCCAGAAAGAAGGACUCACUCCUGCCUUGAAAGGACCUCAUACUGUCAUCCUCACCAUGCCAAUGACUCUAAAGGUGGAUGGCAUUCCUGCUUGGAUUCAUCACUCUCACAUCAAAAAGGCCAACAGAGCCCAGCAGGAAACUUGGGUCCCCAAGCCUAGGCCAGGCCCUUUAAAACUGUGCCUAAGUUGAGUGAAGCCAUCAAAUUAAUUCUUUUUAUUUACCUCUUUUGUUUGUUUCUGCCUAUUAUACCUUCUGCUCCAUCCUACUCUUUUCUCCUCACUUCUUUCACGACAGGACAUGUGUUUGCAAAAACUACUUGGAAGGCAGGAACCUCAAAGGAAGUCUCUCUUGCAGUCGAUUUAUGUGCUUUGUUCCCAGAGCCUGUCUGUACCCACGAAGAACAAUGCAACCUGCCGGUCAUGGGAGUGGGAAAUGUCGACCUUGCUGCAGGAUGUGGACACACAGGAAGCUGGACUGGAUGUGGGAUCUCUAGAGGUGCAGAAAAAGGACUCCAGAGCGUUGACUUUUACCUCUGUCCUGGAAAUCGCCCUGACUCCUCUAGCUGUCGAGAUUCUUACCAGUUUUUCUGCCCUCACUGGUCGUGUGUAACCCUAGCCAUUUUCCCUGGAGGAUCAACCCGGUCCUCAACCCUCUCCAUAACUCGCACUUCCCGUCCUAGACCGUGAACUAUGGGAAAUUGUAACCCUCUUACUAUAACUGUCCGUAACCCUGGUUCAGCUCAAUGGUAUUAUGGCAUGUCAUGGGGAUUAAGACUUUGUAUCUCAGGAUUUGAUGUUGGAACUAUGUUCACCAUUCAGAAAAAGGUCCUGGUCCCAUGGAGCCCUCCUAAGCCAAUCGGACCUUUAACUGAUUUAGGUGACCCUAUGUUCCAAAGACACCCAGACAGGGUCGAUUUAACUAUCCCGCUGCCCCUCCUUGUUCCCAGAUCUCAGUUACAACGACAUCUCCAACCCAGCCUGAUGUCCAUUCUGGAUGGGGUGCAUCACCUCCUUAAUCUCACCCAGACUAAAUUAGCCCAGGAUUGUUGGUUGUGCCUAAAGGCCAAACCCCCACGUUAUGUUGGAUUAGGAGUAGAAGCCAUGAUUAAAAUUGACUCUCUUUCUUGUCGUACAUGCCCCCAUGCCCUUACACUAGGAGACGUGUCAGGGAACGCCUCCUGUCGAAUUAGCACCAGGUAUAACUUAUCUGCUUCUCCCUUUCAGGCUACCUGUAAUCAGUCUCUACUUACUUCCUUAAACACCUCAGUCUCCUACCAGGCACCCAACAAUACCUGGCUGGCCUACACUUCAGGCUCACUCAUUGCAUCAAUGGGACUGAACCUGGACCUCUCCUGUGCGUGUUAGUUCAUAUACUGCCCCAAGUUUACGUGUACAGCGGGUCAGAAGGGUGACUUCUCAUCGCUCCCCCUGAGUUACAUUCCAGGUUUCGCAGAGCCGCCCCACUCUUCGUACCCCUUCUGGCCAGCCUUAGCAUAGCUGGAUCAGCAGCCAUUGGCACGGCUGCCCUGGUUCAGGGAGAAACUGGACUAAUGUCUCUGUCUCAGCAAGUAGAUGCUGAUUUAAGCAAUCUCCAGUCAGCCAUAAAUAUGCUACAUACCCAGGUAGAGUCUCUAGCUGAAGUAGUACUUCAAAACCCCCGAGGCCUAGAUCUGCUAUUUCUCUCCCAAGGAGGGUUAUGCGCAGCUCUAGGAGAGAGUUGUUGUUUCUAUGCCAAUCAGUCUGGGGUCAUAAAGGAUACUCUCCAAAAAGUUCGAGAAAAUCUAGAUAGACGCUAACAGGAAUUGGAAAAUAACACCCCUGGUACCAAAACAUGUUUAACUGGAAUCUAUGGCUAACUACUCUAAUCACUGGAUUGGCGGGACCCCUUCUCCUCCUCUUGUUAGGUUUAGUCUUCGGGCCUUGUAUAUUAAAUUGGUUUCUUAAAUUUAUAAAGCAGUUCAUAGCUUCUGUCAAACUUACGUAUCUUAAAACCCAAUAUAACUCCCUUGUUGUGACUGAAGAAUCAAUGAUUUGAUUACCCAAAACAUGAGUGGGGAAUGUGAUACCUACCCUGUUUUAACCUGCCCCAAGUUUACGUGUACAGUGGGUCAGAAGGGUGACUUCUGACCCUUCUGCUCAGAGUGACUCUCUCUUAGCUGAGAUAGCUGGACACUCUCCAUUUUAGCUUCUUCACUUGCAGUCCCCUUAUCCCCCUCCCUUAAGGGAAUAACUAGUGCAAGCUGACUCCAAGCACAUCCAGGAAUGCACUUACUGAUAAGAUAUUGAGGCAAGCUGUACCAGCAGCUCCUGGGGACGUGCUCGGCGGAUGGUACCCAAGCCCCUGCAUUUAUCUCUUUGUGAUAGUUUAAGCCCCUGCACCUGGAACUGUAUUUUUCUGUAACUAUCUCUGUAACCAUUAAUUUUUUUAACUUUUUGCCUGUUCUGCUUCUGUAAAAAUUGCUUCAAGUAGGCUCCCCCUCCCCUAUUUAGACCAUGGUUUAAAAAGAAAUCUAUC